rnacentral:rRNA from 1 species
GGCAGUAAAUGCCUUGUCAAUUGGACAAAAGUAUCUUCCCCGAAGGAUUAUGGUGGUCUUGGCAUCAAGGAUCUUGAUCUGCACAGCCACGCCUUGCGACUCAGGUGGCUAUGGUAGAGCUGGGACAACUCUGAUCGACCAUGGAAAGGUUUCCCAGUUCCUUGCAAUGAGACUGACAGGCGCCUUUUUGCUUCUUGCACCGCUAUCAACAUCAAAACUGGCACACUAAAAGACCUUGACCGGAGCUCUACAACCUAG